AUGUGUGGUGAUGAUGGUAUCUUAUCAUGGUUCAUGUACCAAAAGCUACUGGAGCUUGUGGAGUUCAAGCUGAAGGAAGUGAUUUCGAGGGAACCUACUCUACUUGUUUUGAUGGUUGGUGUUCCUAACAUUGGCAGGUCGUCUUUAAUUAAUUCAAUCCAUCAAAUUGUGUCAUCUUGCUUUCCCGGUAAGCUGUUACUAUGUUUCUGCUGGAUCAUGGUUGGAUGUCAUUGUCUUGAAAUGUAACUGUGGUGAAGGUUAUUAAAUUAUUGAACAAUAAUGGUUUCAGUUUUCUUUCAUAGUGCAGGAGAAUAUGAAGCUACACUUGGCCCGUUGCCUGGUGUUACUCAAGAUAUAUCUGGAUACAAGGUCAAGAGAUUCUUUGUUUUAUGGUUUAUAUACCUUAUAAAGUAAUAAGAGACUGAAAUUUUAGCUUCAUGUGUCUUUCAUAGUUGUUAGCAUUCAAUAAUUAAGACUAAUAUUUGAGAAUGAGAUUGGACCCUGAUAUUAAUAUUGUUGGUAGGAAGAUCGUAGUUCUGGUUGUGAAUUGUUUGAUUAACCAUUAUCACUUAACAUUUAGUUCAUGUUCUUGCUUUUAUGACCCGCAGACAUUGCAAGGAAGUUAUGGACUUAUUUCUGACUUGUGCUAUAUUAUUUGUCCAAAAGUAAAGGGGAUUACUACGACUUGGAUUAUAUUUUUGGCUUAAUUGAUUGAUGUUCCCCCUAUUUUGCUAGCUUUCUUACUAAUUUAUAUAUCUAUUUUUUGCUUUUGAUUUUUUUUAAGCUAGUAAGUAUCUGAAGGUUUAUAGGAAUAGGGGAAUAAACUAUCAGGGUUAGGUCUCUGGUUUGAUUAUUGAAAGCCUGUAAUAACUAAGUCAGUUGCAGAAGCCUUAUGCAAAUAUAUGUAUUGGGUGUCAGGCCAAACAUCAAGCAUUUGGCUGGUUCCUUUUCUUUUUUAAUCUUAAUUUUCUUCUAUAUUCCUUUUGCCUUCUGUUGUUAAUUUGUGGCUGAGUACUUCUGUUUCAACAUCUAUGAAUGUUUAAAUGCUGACAUUGAAUUGUUAAGCUGCAGAUUGCGCAUCAGCCUAGCAUAUGUCCUAAACACUCUAGGUGUAUUGGUUCCAAGUAUCCCUAACAUUGAGACAGGAAUGAAGCUAGCUCUUGCUGGUAUCAAGCUCUUGCAAAUAAUUUCUCCUUAG
rnacentral:sRNA from 1 species